GUCAACAUCUACCUCCAGUGUGGCGUCAAUAUCUACCUUGAGUGGGGCGUCAACAUCUGCCUCCAGUGGGGUGUCAACAUCUGCCUCCAGUGGGACAGCAACAUCUUCUCAUCAUGAAGAUGACACAUCAACCCCUACCUCCAGCAGCACUACCACUACUACAAAAGGUUUGAUCACAUCAGACGACCCUGCACAAUGGUGAAAUGUCCUAAA